rnacentral:rRNA from 1 species
GACGAACGCUGGCGGCGUGCUUAACACAUGCCAGUCGAACGGAAAGGCCCUGCUUUUGUGGGGUGCUCGAGUGGCGAACGGGUGAGUAACACGUGAGUAACCUGCCCUUGACCUUGGGAUAACUUCAGGAAACUGGGGCUAAUACCGGAUAGGAGCUCCUGCUGCAUGGUGGGGGUUGGAAAGUUUCGGCGGUUGGGGAUGGACUCGCGGCUUAUCAGCUUGUUGGUGGGGUAGUGGCUUACCAAGGCUUUGACGGGUAGCCGGCCUGGGAGGGUGACCGGCCACAUUGGGACUGAGAUACGGCCCAGACUCCUACGGGAGGCAGCAGUGGGGAAUAUUGCACAAUGGGCGGAAGCCUGAUGCAGCAACGCCGCGUGCGGGAUGACGGCCUUCGGGUUGUAAACCGCUUUCGCCUGUGACGAAGCGUGAGUGACGGUAAUGGGUAAAGAAGCACCGGCUAACUACGUG